GCCUACGGGGGGCAGCAGUGGGGAAUAUUGCACAAUGGGGGAAACCCUGAUGCAGCGACGCCGCGUGAGCGAAGAAGUAUUUCGGUAUGUAAAGCUCUAUCAGCAGGGAAGAAAAAUGACGGUACCUGAGUAAGAAGCCCCGGCUAACUACGUGCCAGCAGCCGCGGUAAUACGUAGGGGGCAAGCGUUAUCCGGAAUUACUGGGUGUAAAGGGAGCGUAGACGGUAAUGCAAGUCUGGAGUGAAAGGCGGGGGCCCAACCCCCGGACUGCUCUGGAAACUG
rnacentral:rRNA from 1 species